CGGCAGGAGCUCAAAUUUGAAAUCUGAGGCCCUCGGCCUCCGAGUUGUAAUUUGGAGAGGCAUCUUCGGGGGGGAGCGCCGGCCCAUGUUCCUUGGAACAGGACGUCACAGAGGGUGAGAAUCCCGUGCCUGGCCGGCUGACUCCUCCCGGGUGGAGGGCCUUCGACGAGUCGAGUUGUUUGGGAAUGCAGCUCCAAGUGGGUGGUAAAUUUCAUCUAAGGCUAAAUACCGGCGGGAGACCGAUAGCGCACAAGUAGAGUGAUCGAAAGAUGAAAAGCACUUUGAAAAUAGAGUCAAAAAGUACGUGAAAUUGUUGAAAGGGAAGCGCUUGAGACCAGACUCGGGCCCGGGCAAACAUCGCGCCCCUCGGGGCCGUGCAAUUGCCUGGGGUCGGGCCAGCAUCAGUCGGCGUGGCGGGACAAAGGCGCGGAGAAUGUGGCUCCCCUCGGGGAGUGUUAUUAGCCCCGCGCUCAAUGCCGCCGACGCCGACUGAGGACCGCGCCUCGGCUAGGAUGCUGGCUUAAUGGCCUUCAGCGACCCGUCUUGAAACACGGACCAAGGAGUCUAACAUCUAUGCGAGUGUUUGGGCGCCAAACCCUUGCGCGAAAUGAAAGUGAGCGGAGGUGGGAACCCUCCCUGCGGGGGCGCACCAUCGACCGAUCCU
rnacentral:rRNA from 1 species